CUAUCCUUAGUUUAUUUUAGAAUGUUAAUUUGUCGUAUUGUUGGUGUUGAAUAGUUUUGACAGGGUGGU
rnacentral:tRNA from 1 species